GCAAGUCGAGCGCACCUUCGGGUGAGCGGCGGACGGGUUAGUAACGCGUGGGAACAUACCCUUUUCUGCGGAAUAGCCUUUGGAAACGAAGAGUAAUACCUUAUACGCCCUUCGGGGGAAAGAUUUAUCGGAGAAGGAUCGGCCCGCGUUAGAUUAGAUAGUUGGUGGGGUAAUGACCUACCAAGUCUACGAUCUAUAGCUGGUUUUAGAGGAUGAUC
rnacentral:rRNA from 1 species